rnacentral:rRNA from 1 species
UGAGGAAUAUUGGUCAAUGGCCGAGAGGCUGAACCAGCCAAGUAGCGUGAAGGAUGACUGCCCUACGGGUUGUAAACUUCUUUUAUACGGGAAUAAAGUCCGCUACGAGUAGCGGUUUGUAUGUACCGUACGAAUAAGCAUCGGCUAAUUCCGUGCCAGCAGCCGCGGUAAUACGGAAGAUGCGAGCGUUAUCCGGAUUUAUUGGGUUUAAAGGGAGCGUAGGCGGGAUGUUAAGUCAGUUGUGAAAGUUUGCGGCUCAACCGUAAAAUUGCAGUUGAUACUGGCGUCCUUGAGUGCGGCAGAGGAAGGCGGAAUUCGUGGUGUAGCGGUGAAAUGCUUAGAUAUCACGAAGAACUCCGAUUGCGAAGGCAGCUUUCUGGACCGUAACUGACGCUGAUGCUCGAAAGUGCGGGUAUCAAACAGG